GGCGGCGUAGCUCAGUUGGCUAGAGCAUCCGGUUCAUACCCGGCAGGUCACAGGUUCAAAUCCCGUCGCCGCUACCA
rnacentral:tRNA from 17 species